AAGAGGUUACCCGUCACUUUCUUUUCACAUCUAUUAAUGAGCCUGCGUCUACUGGGCACCCAGUCUGUGCCCUGCAAGGCGUUGAGUGCUGGGAGAUGUUCUGUAAGAUGUACAUCCAUCAACAUAUUCGUCUGCAUAACUAACAUCCACUGAGCAGCUGAAACCGGAGCCACACGCUAGGAUGCUUACCGGGGCCAGGCUGGAAUGAAAUCACUUCUCUAAGGACAAAGAAAAUCCCAGCACCAUACUAUUUCACCUGAACCAACUGUAUUUUGGUAUACAGUAAGUCCACUACAUACGAACCUUCACGUUGCGAACUUUCAAAGAUACGAACGUGUAUUCUCCUGUCCAAACACGUAAGUUAGUUCUCGUGUCUGGCGUGCAUUGUCACGUGCGUGCAUCCUCUACAAGCGGUAGUGCUUGUGUACCUUGUGUACUUUACCGUACAGUACUGUAUAGAGUACAGUAUCUUUAUUUCAAGCUCAGGAUGUCCAGAAGCGAGCAUAAAAGCAAUGGUGAUGUAGCUGGUACUGUAUGGUACUUUUCAAGGUAUUGUACUGUAAGAUUAAAAGUUUUCUUUAUUUUUUGUGUUUGUUUUUUAUGUAUUAUUUGUGUGAAAAGUACUAUAAACCUAUUACAGUACAGUGCCAUGUGGCCAAUUGUGUCAAUUGGGUACCUAGGCUAAUGUUGUUGAACUUAUGAACAAAUCCGACUUACAAACGCACUCUCGGAACUCAUUUAUAUGUA